UGAACGCUAGCGGCGGACCUAACACAUGCAAGUCGAGGGGCAACAUGAUAUUAUUAUAUUUAUAUAGUAAUAUUGAUGGCGACCGGCGAACGGGUGAGUAACACGUACGCAACUUUCCUUUUGCAGGAGGAUAGCCUGAGGAAACUCGGAUUAAUACUCCAUAAUACAAAUUAUUUAAUAAUAUUUUGUUAAAGUAUUUACGGCAAAAGAUAGGCGUGCGCCCGAUUAGUUAGUUGGUAAGGUAACGGCUUACCAAGACCACGAUCGGUAGGGGGCCUGAGAGGGUGAUCCCCCACACUGGUACUGAGACACGGACCAGACUCCUACGGGAGGCAGCAGUGAGGAAUAUUGGUCAAUGGAGGCAACUCUGAACCAGUUACGCCGCGUGCAGGAGGACGGCCUUAUGGGUUGUAAACUGCUUUUGUAUGAGGAAUAAACUUUUCUACGUGUAGAAAACUGAAUGUACUCUACGAAUAAGUAUCGGCAAACUCCGUGCCAGCAGCCGCGGUAAUACGGAGGAUACAAGCGUUAUCCGGAUUUAUUGGGUUUAAAGGGUGCGUAGGCGGUCCUUUAAGUCAGUAGUGAAAUCUUACAGCUUAACUGUUAAAACUGCUAUUGAUACUGAUAGACUAGAGUAAGAUUGGAGUAGCUGGAAUGUGUGGUGUAGCGGUGAAAUGCAUAGAUAUCACACAGAACACCAAUCGCGAAGGCAGGCUAUUAAAUCUUUACUGACGCUGAGGCACGAAAGCGUGGGGAGCAAAUAGGAUUAGAUACCCUAGUAGUCCACGCUGUAAACGAUGAUCACUAGCUGUUGAAUUUUUUAUUUUUCAGUGGCUAAGCGAAAGUGAUAAGUGAUCCACCUGGGGAGUACGAUCGCAAGAUUGAAACUCAAAGGAAUUGACGGGGGCCCGCACAAGCGGUGGAGCAUGUGGUUUAAUUCGAUGAUACGCGAGGAACCUUACCAAGGUUUAAAUGUGCUACGCAUGAUUUAGAAAUAAAUCAGUUCUUACGAACGGAGUGCAAGGUGCUGCAUGGUUGUCGUCAGCUCGUGCCGUGAGGUGUUAGGUUAAGUCCUUCAACGAGCGCAACCCCUAUUGUUAGUUGCCAUCAGGUAAUGCUGGGGACUCUAACAAGACUGCCGACGUAAGUCGUGAGGAAGGUGGGGAUGACGUCAAAUCAUCACGGCCCUUAUGUCUUGGGCUACACACGUGCUACAAUGGCCGGUACAAAGGGCAGCAACUAGGCAACUAGAAGCAAAUCUCUAAAGCCGGUCUUAGUUCGGAUUGGAGUCUGCAACUCGACUCUAUGUAGCUGGAAUCGCUAGUAAUCGCGCAUCAGCCAUGGCGCGGUGAAUACGUUCCUGGGCCUUGUACACACCGCCCGUCAAGCCAUGGAAGUCGGAAGUACCUAAAGUCGGUGACCAUAAUAGGAGCUGCCUAGGGUA
rnacentral:rRNA from 1 species